UAUUGUGCUGUGAUGAUACUUAUGUGGACUAGAGUUUCUGAUCUGGGAAUCUUCACCCAGAAUCUGAUUACAACCCCUUGGCUGUCUGAGCACACAAUUUUCAAAUAUCAUGAUAAUUUGAUCUUGAUUCUUCUCUGUUAAUUUUUUUCUGAAAUUUCGUUAUUUUUGCUUUAUAAUUGCGUCUAAUAGGUGAAUGCUUAUUUGGCUUAUGAUGAUAAUAUACUUUAUCUUAGCGGAUUUCAGUGAGAUUUUAUAUCUAUGAUCUGAAUGUUACACACACUGAAGCCAUUCUUUUAUAAUUUUUGUUUCAUAGUUUGUUUUCUAUAAUAUUGUAGCUCUGAUUCAUUUGUUUUUGUUCCUCUGAUUUAAUUUAUCUAUUAAUUGGUGCUAUGAUGAGAUAAAAACACCAAGGAAGUGUUUAUGGGCAGUGGACAAAAUCGUAAAGGUUUUGCCGUGAGCUUUUUUUUAAAACGACUUCUCCUUCCACUGAGCACC
rnacentral:lncRNA from 1 species